rnacentral:rRNA from 1 species
GACGAACGCUGGCGGCGUGCUUAACACAUGCAAGUCGAGCGAACUUUUAAAAGCUUGCUUUUAAAAGUUAGCGGCGGACGGGUGAGUAACACGUGGGCAACCUACCUGUAAGACUGGGAUAACUUCGGGAAACCGGAGCUAAUACCGGAUAAUUCUUUUCUACACAUGUAGAAAAGCUGAAAGACGGUUUCGGCUGUCACUUACAGAUGGGCCCGCGGCGCAUUAGCUAGUUGGUGAGGUAAUGGCUCACCAAGGCAACGAUGCGUAGCCGACCUGGAAGAGCGAUCGGCCACACUGGGACUGAGACACGGCCCAGACUCCUACGGGAGGCAGCAGUAGGGAAUCUUCCGCAAUGGACGAAAGUCUGACGGAGCAACGCCGCGUGAGUGAUGAAGGUUUUCGGAUCGUAAAACUCUGUUGUUAGGGAAGAACAAGUACGAUAGUAACUGAUCGUACCUUGACGGUACCUAACCAGAAAGCCACGGCUAACUACGUGCCAGCAGCCGCGGUAAUAC